AAAACAUUCCUGAAACCUGAUUUUCUGCUACUGAACAAUGCUAAUUGUUGACCAUUUACACAGCGGUGUCCUCACAUGGAUGUGAUUCAAAAGGACAUCGUCGUCCUCUGACCUGGAGGCUUUACUGAGCUCUUUACGGUCCAUAAAACCACAGAAUCUGAGCAUCACUCUGAAUUCCAGUUAUUCCAGUAUGGAGAGUUAUAGUGGUUCCUUCCACUUCCUGCAGUGUGACCGUCUCGUCUCCAGCUGCACACAGUAAACCUGCAGCACAGCUUCAGCUUCAGAUUAAUCAUUUCACUCACAAUCAUAAUCACACACAGUCCAUUAAAUCUAUACCGUCCUGAUUUCAACUUCAAAAUGCAGAAAUAUUACAUUUCAGGGAAUCUGAUACAUUCUGCAGCAAAUAUAUUGUUACAUAUUGGAAGUUAUUAUUAUUAUUAUUAUUAUUAUUAUUAUUAUUAUAUAUUACUACAGUGCUGCAUCUAUUACUAGAAAUGUUACUAGUCCCUCCAGGAUUUAGCAGUUUUGCAAUCGCAGAAAUUAAUGAAAAAUCAAGCAAACCCCGCAACACGAGUUUGCUAUUUUUCAAAAUUACCGCAGAUUUGGGCCGAGACGUGUCAUGUGACAUCAUCACAGCGUGCAUUCAGUCAAAUCCCUCUUGGAUUCAUGUGCGUCGAACACGAGUACAGUUAAAAGUUCUCAUUUACCAACAAACAUCACUAGGAAAGUGGCACAAAGCUAUUUCGUGCGAUUGAAAUUUCGCCAAUUCAAAAAAAACACAAACUCUGCAAAUUCCAUCACAAAUUUUGAAAAAAAAAGCCGCAGCAAAAUCCAGAAUUUUUGGCUGCAACAGUCACAAAAAAAACUCCAUGAAAUCCAGUUCGGACUGUGUUCCAAUACAACGAUCUAUAUUCAGUGCCUUGCAAAAGUAUUCAACCCCCUUAAAAGUCAUGAGAUUGGUCUGGAUUAUAAAGGACACUUACACAGAUUGUUCCAGUCAGUAUUUUUACUGCAAACCAAUCUGCUCAUAAAGCACAUUUUCAAAGUCAAAAUUCAUUAUUUGUCAGCAGAGCUUUAAAAACUGAAAAAUGCUGCUUGCGUAAGUAUUCACCCCCCUCCAGACUAGUACUUGGUAGAAGCAGCUUUGGCUGCAGUAACAGCUGUGAGUGUGUUGGGGGUUGGUGAUGUUCCUACCAGCUCUGCACACUGUUUGGAAUUUUCACCCAUUCUUCCUGCCAGAUUUCUUCCAGGUUCUUCAGGUUGGGUGGAUGUACUUUAUUGACUGCAAUUUUUUAAACAGUGCUACAGAUUCCCAAUGGGAUUCAGAUCUGGACUUUGACUUGGCCACUGUAGAACAUUCACCUUUUUGUUUUUAACUGCUCCUACACUGCUUUGGUCUUGUCUUUGGGACCAGUGAUGAAAGGUGAAGUAUCCACCAAGCAUUAGGUUUGUUUGUUUUUUAGCUGACUGAAGCAGGUUCUCUUGUAAUAGAUAUUGAUCCAACAGUGCUUACUGGGAUAUUCAACCAAUUGUGUAUAAUUUUACACCGUAUUCCUAAGUUGUAAAAUUAUAUUAUCUUAUCUUCAACUUCUUUAGAAUGCUCCUUCGCCUUCAUUUUCACUUCAUCUCCACAGUGAACAUCACUUCAGUGUCAGUUCAACUUGGGUGGCUUUUGUUCAGAAAAUAGGAGCUGUUUUAAUAUUUCACAGGUGAAGAUCAAUUAUAAGUCAGUUGUGUCCUCGUUAAGACAAUAUCUUUCAUCUGGAGCUUUGAGAUACUUACUGACCGAUAAUUAAUUUAGACUGAAACUUCACUGUAAGAGAACACGAGUCUGCAAUAAAAAUACUGAGAGGAAGAAUAUUUUCAUUCAUUAUUUGUAAUUCAGACCAAUCUGAUAAAUUCCAGGGGGUUACAUACUUUUGCAAGACACUGUACAUUUAAAUAACAUUGGGAGGAAUUUGCAUAUAUUUACAAAUAUAGUGCACAGAAUUAUCCAAUAUAUUUCUAUUAAAUAAGGAGAGACUUUGGUGUUGAGAAAUAUGAAAGAGGAUUUCCACUGAAAAAUAACAUCAAUGUACAAGUACAAUUCACUUGUAUGGGUCAUUUCUGUCAGGUUUUCAUUAAUCACAUGGUAGACUAUGGAAGUUAUAGCUACACAUGAGAAAAUUAAAAGUGGAAAACAUCACAAAUCAGCACAAUGAUCCAGUACACCAUGGAUUUAUAAUCUUGAGAAUCAUAACUCAAUAACCACAAGCUGUAUUUACCAUACAGUCAAAACACUUUAACUGCAAACAUUAUUUUAAUUCCAAAAAAGUGUAUUAAACUGGACUUUUCCCUGUUACUGGUGUUGAACUAUCCAGAAAACACCUUCAGUACCUUAAUGUGUACCUGUAAAAUGACUCUAAACUCUAAUUAUUAUUAUUAUUUAGGUAGUUAUUAAUGUAAUUGUGUUCUUAAAUCAUUUUAAAAGUAAAGAUGUGAAUACAUUAUGAUGAACCACACUGACAAUGAAAAGUACUGUUUAGUGUUUAUUUGUGUGAGUUUAAUAAAAGGAAAUAAACUA